rnacentral:rRNA from 1 species
UACGUAGGGGGCUAGCGUUGUCCGGAAUCAUUGGGCGUAAAGAGCGCGUAGGCGGCCAGAUAAGUCCGGUGUGAAAGUCACAGGCUCAACCUGUGAAUGCCGCUGGAAACUGUCUGGCUAGAGUCCGGAAGGGGCGAGUGGAAUUCCUGGUGUAGCGGUGAAAUGCGCAGAUAUCAGGAGGAACACCAAUGGCGAAGGCAGCUCGCUGGGACGGAACUGACGCUGAGGCGCGAAAGCGUGGGGAGCAAACAGG